AGGGAAGUAGCAGUGACCUGGUCUCUGCAGAAGGGCUAUCAACAGCAUAGAACAGAUGUCCUACUUUGCUCUCCCAGAUCAUCGUUAUUUUAUGCUAACUCAAUCUGGGGUCUAAAACAUUUGUGUUUCCUUGUAUAGCCCCCAGCAUUUGCAGAUGCUACCCUGGGGCGUAGCAUCACACCUCACCUGCAACAAGAAGAACCUGCAAGGGCAGCAGUCCUGCUUCUGAGCUCCCAAGGGGCUGCCGUGCAUUUUCCUGGCCUUUGGCAUUCAGAUGGUGUGACGGGAAGUCACUGGACAGCCUUCAAAUGCAUUCAACUCCACUGUCUUGCUUCUCCUUCCUUGUGUUGGCCGUGGACCUUAGGAAAAACCUCUGAGCCCAGGUACUGCUUAGCAGCUUCCAACUACUCUGAAAGCAGCAGUAGGUUGCUCCAGACUAUAAAAUCCCUUUAUAAACGACCGCUGACAUUCAGCAGGGCUUGGCGGUGCUGCUUUCCUGCAGCAUUACCUGCCUGCUUCUUGGGACCUCUCUCCUGAUGGCCCCCAAGUGAGUCACAUCCUCUCCUCAGGCACAGCCCCCUGGCCCUGCUGCAGAGGCAGCAUCUUUCUCCCACAGCCAGAGGCGAGCGAGCACCAUCGGGAUGCUGCUGCUGCCGGUCCUGACCCUGGCUGCAGCCAGGUCGCGCAUGUUCCCUCUCUCAGGAGGGCAGCGUGUGGAGCAGCAGCAAGCGGCUCUCAUGCAUACGGCUCUGAGCAGGCGGCUGACAGUGCUCGUUGUAUUAUUUUCUCUCCUUCUGUUCGAUGGGCAAGCACAAGUGCUCCUGCAACAGCGUCAGCCAUCUCUCACCAAAAGGACAUCUAUGACUGCAGUGAUUGAUUGCAAAGUCGAGGGCAUAGAUAACUUCCAGGCUGCUUACAUCCAUUGGUACCGACAUAUACCCACCAGGGCUCCCGAACGACUUCUCUAUGUGACCCCAACAGCACAGAUUUCUUACGAGAAGGAUUCCUACAAGGACAAGUACCACUCUUCUAAAAGAGGCAAAAAUACCUGCACUCUAUCAGUCAAAGACAUACGUGAGGAUGAUGAAGGUACCUACUACUGUGCCUACUGGCAGUCUCACAGAGCGAGAAGAUCGUAGGCAGCCUGUACAGAAAGGUGGCUGCAGCCUGAGUGGCAAGCUUCCUCUCAAAUGCACGGAACCAACGUUACCUUCCUGCAC